CGCGUACGUACGUACGCUGCGCAUCCGGUCGGUGGUUGACUCUUUUGUUUGCAUUACAAUUUACACGAGGGAAAAGCUCCAUCGCGGCACUCCUGAGCUGGACAGUGCGGAUGCGAUGCCACGCGUGACACCCAAAUUGUCUUUUUUUUUCUUUCUUCUUUUUAACCUUACUAGCUUGAAUACUUGAGCUUGAAUACUUGAUGCAAGUUGCUGGAAGGACCGAUCCAUCGAGAAACUGUUAGAACCAGAUUUGCUAUUCAUCGCCUUUCUUCACUUUAUCUUUUUUUUUAAUUCAUUUUGUUUCAUCACCCUUUGUUUUGCUAACCGACUACAAGAACGUUUUUUCCCAACUUUCUGUUUUUUCAACACAAUUCAUUUACUUUUUACUAAUUUGUUUUUUUAAGCUGAUAAUUUUUAAGAAAAUACUCCUCCGUUCGAAAAAAUACGACGUAUAACUUUUCUUGACCAACCAUAUAACAAAAUAUAACAACAUCUAUGGUGUCAAAUGUGUAAUAGGAUCGAGGUGUUGACUAGAGGGGGGGGUUGAAUAGGCAACUACAAAUUUUCACUUACUUUUACCAAUUUAGGCGCAGCGGAAAAUAGAGGUUAUCUAAAUGCAAUUAAGUGAAACAACCUAUAUGAUGCAAUACAAGCAAGCAACAAGACAAACACAAAGUAAUUAAGCUCAGGUAACCGAAGGGCUCGAAGGAGACAAGGAUUUAUCCCCAUGUUCACUUCCUUGGGAGGAAGCUAGUCACCGUUGGAGGGGUGAGGGAACCACGAGAGGUAUCCCUAAUAUCCCUGAAAAGGCACACCCAAUCUCCUUGAGCCUGCCACACCAAAGUAGGAGCUCAAUCACUAAGUGGUUGGCCUUGAGGUGGCCACCGAACCUUCACAAACUCCACGGGGCAAAUCCACAUCUAGGAGUCCCCACAACUCCAAGAGUAACAAGCACGAUGAAGAACUUGAAUAGGGACCAAAGCUUUGCUCAAAUUGAAUCUUGGGAUCUCAGUCCAACCUCUCUUCGAUCUCACAAGAUUAGGAGCUAGGGUUCUUGAGGGAGAGGGGAAAAGCUUUCCUUGGAUGGGAUCUCAAAUCUCACUCAAAACUCUCUUCUAUCCUCUCAAGAUUUGAAGGCUAGGGUUCUUGAGGAAGAGGGGAGUGUUCUUGGUGUUCUUGCUUGGGAUGCUCUGAGAAAACGUAGGCAAGUGGUCGGGGUCCUAACGGGAAGAAAUGGGGCGGAGGCCUUUAUACCCGUCACACAAAUUGCCCUUUUUUUUUUCUUUCUUCUUUUUGACCUUACUAGCUUGAAUACUUGAUGCAAGUUGCUGGAAGGACCGAUCGAUCGAGCAACGAAAAUAAAGAAAAUGUUAAGUGCGUCACUGUUAGUACCAUUAAUUUCCCAGAUUUGCUAUUCACCGCCUUUCUUCACUUUAUCUUUUUUUUUUCAAUUCAUUUUUUUUUCAUCGUCCUUUCUUUUUUUGAGGGAAAGCCAUCAUGGCGGCUUUAUUGAUUGAUAAACACACUUACAUCGUUCACAAGCAAACUAGAAAUAAAAUUGGGUGGAUCCUCAAGCCAAACAACACGCUGAGAAUCAACCGCCUGACGAGCUAAAGUGUGAGCUACCAAAUUACUCUCCCUAGGACAAUGAUUAAGACUAACAAAGCCAAAACCUCUAACAAGAAAAGAGCAUUCUUCAUAGAUCACCGCAGCAGGACCAAUGGACUUUCCGCCAUCGAGCAUCGUUUGCACCACCUCCAUGCAAUCACUAUUAAUCUCCAGUCUAUUACAACCCACCUGGCCAGCUAGCAAAAGCCCAUCACGAAGAGCUAUCGCUUCCGCGGUUGGCGCAUCUGCUACAUUCUCAAUACCAUAGCAACUACCUGCAAUGAAGGUACCCAUAUGAUCUCAUAUGACAGCCCCAGUAGCACCUGUCUCCGCAUCAGCAUUGAAAGCCGCAUCAACAUUCAAUUUAACAAAAUCAUCUUUCGGUCUCACCCAUCCGUGGCGUCUGAUUCCCGCGUUUUGGCGGCGAGCCCGAAAAUAAUUCGUAGCAAGAGCUGCAAUCGCAUGAGAAGACCUGGCAGGUUUCGCGAUUGCCUCACCUCGCACUGCUUGAUGGCGCUCCCACCAGGUAUACCAGCAAGCGGUAACAAUCAUCUCUUUUCUUCCAACGUCAGCAAAUAAAGAGCAAGGAGCAUCCGUUGACAUGAGCAGGGCCUCCAAAACUUCAGACCCUGAACGAAUAGGGACAUCCAACUCAUUGAUCAAGUCUGCCAAGCCCAAGUUUUCCCAGAUCUCCAUCACUCUCGGGCAUUUGAAAAAAGCAUGCAAAGUAUCCUCGCAAUGAAUCUUGCAUAAAGGGCAAGUACUGCUAGUUAUUAUAUGGCGAUUAGCGAGGACAAAGUUGCA
rnacentral:lncRNA from 1 species